UUUAUGUCACUGCAGAGGAAGGUAGGAGUAGACAAGGUACCAGUGGGAGAAGCGCCGCUGCACAGCAGACACAUCAGCCCGUCUCCGAUACAACAGGACAUUUUACGUUACAUUUUCAGUUUAACUCUGCCUCCUCCUGACUCUCCACCAUGAAGAUCUGGUCUCUGGGAUUUUGCCUAAUGGCUCUGCUGACAUUAGGAAAGGCUCAACUUGAAGCAGCGAUCACACGUUACAGCUGUUUUACCCAGUGAAACUGUCACACCUUCACCCACCACUACCAGUGAAGUGACCACCACAUCGACCACAAUCCCCCCGACAACUACAACCAGUGCUCCUGCAACAACCACCGGCCCACCCGCCACUACAAGUGAAGUGACCACCACAUCGACCACAAUCCCCCCGACAACUACAACCAGUGCUCCUGCAACAACCACCGGCCCACCCACCACUACAAGUGAGAAGACCACCACAUCGACCACAAUCCCCCCGGCAACUACCACCGCUUCCCCAGAGACCACGACCACCGCCCGCCCAGUGAGUCCCACCAGUGAUUCCACAACCGACCCCGUCCCCACGGGACCAAGCUUCACUCCACCCACACCAGGCCCCACAUUCAACAGAGGCUCAGAAGUCAAAGCUUCUCUGAUGCUGUCUGUUGUGCCAUUGAUGAUCUUCAAAGCUGCAAUUUAGCCUAAAAUGACAGAAAACGAAAUGUUUCAAUAAUACGGUGUUCAAAUGAAGUCUGAUUUGGACUUAAAUACAUUAGAAAAAGGAGUGAAAGAUUGAAUAAAAUCCAUGUACAACGCAGCAUUUGUAACAUUUCUUCUGUUAUUGUCAGUGUGUAACUUUCACAUUGAAUUGAAUGAGAAAAUAUGUUCACUCUUAUAGUAGUAGAUAGAUAGUAGGGUUGUGAAUAUUAAUGAGGUGAAGGUUUGUCUUAAAUCAGCAGGUUAACUUCAACAUUCAUGUGAUAAUCUGAAGUCUACGUAGAAUAGAGAACAACUUGUUAUUGAGAAAGAGUUGUGAUGACUGAUGUAGUUUAAGAUCCCUUUGAGCUACCUGUUAUUAAAAAUAAAAAUAAAA